AUGUUAGCUCCUGUGCUUUCCAGGACCACCUCCCUAACCAAAACCAUCACCAAGCACUGAGCACACACCUCAUUAUAACUGCUGGCUGAGCCCUGCUACACUGACUGUAAAGUCCCUAGGCUUCCUUGUCAGCAAGGUUUUCUGCUACCACCGGAGCAGAUGUCCACACUGCUCAGCAAUGGAUGCACCUUAGCACUCUGUAAUCUUUUGAGAUCAGAUGGAAAUGAUAAAAUACCCAGAAAGUUCCCCAUCUCAGAAGGCAAAUGCUAAUAAGGGAAAGAAGAUCAGCUCUGGUAAAACCUCCAGAGAAAAAUGGGGAAGGUAUGAAUAAUGAAAAAAUAAGGAGCAUGACUGCAGUACAAGCACACUGUGAGCAGGAAGAAGAGCUGUGUCAUGGCAUAACAAAGAAGGUUUUUCCCACUAAUGCUUAAAAUGCAAGUAAACACUGCUGUAUGAAGAACCCAAAAUCUUUUGAGAUAGACUAGACAGAGAAGCAGAACCCAAACUCCCAUGUUCCUGUGAUAAUUUGAGUUGAAAAAAUCCUCAGGGACUGUGACCAAAAGUAAUCAUGAAAUGGGAAACAGGCCACUUGGAAACUCGUUUUGCAAACAAAUCUCAGUCUCACAAGACCAGUUCUUCAGCUCCUGACGCCUCUGCAGAUGCAAACAUUUAUUCUCUGGUUCUUCAGAAAAUAAAUAAUCUUAAAG
rnacentral:lncRNA from 1 species